CAAGUACUCCCUUCAUUCUGAAUUACUUGUCGCAAAAAUGGAUGUAUCUAGACAUAUUUUUAGUUUUACAUACAUCAAUUUCUAUUCAUUUAUGUGACAAGUAAUUCAGGACGAAGGGAGUACCAA
rfam:Triticum urartu cultivar G1812 contig175037, whole genome shotgun sequence.